rfam:Escherichia coli str. K-12 substr. MG1655, complete genome.
ACCGAAAGACGAUUAAUUUCGUUUUUUAGUCAUAAAAAACCUGCCAGCGAUGGCAGGUUUUUUUUUGCC